AUACCUUUCUCGGCCUUUUGGCUAAGAUCAAGUGUAGUAUCUGUUCUUAUCAGUUUAAUAUCUGAUACGUGACAAGUGUAGUAUCUCGGACUUUCGAAUGUUUCCUUUGUGUUGCACUAUUGCAUCGGUUGGCAUAUCCCUA
rnacentral:snRNA from 1 species